rnacentral:lncRNA from 1 species
CCAUUUGAAUGGUUCCGGUGAAGUUCGGUGAAAUUCGGGAGCACUCGGGCGUUUCGGUGCCCGUAGGUGCGAAAACAGAACCCGAAAGGCUAUGUUGGACAAAGAACUAAAUUCGGCAUUAGCGUGGAUGAAAAGAGGAUUUAAAUAUGCUCGAAAAUAUAUUUUGAGAGUCUCGGUGCGAUUUGAAAAGAAUCGGAGACCAAACGAGUGAAAACGAGCGAAAACGGAAAAGAAAAGCUGAAAAUGCUGAAAAUUUGGCUAAGUCUGGAAAUGUAGAAUUUUUGGACCUACGGGGUCCGGU